AUCAGGGACAAUGAAGGUCGCUCUUCUUCUCUUUGCCUCAAAGAGGCUAACAAAUAAAAAAGGUUUUUUUCUAUUUAUUAUUAUUAUUAUUAUU